UGAACGCUAGCUACAGGCUUAACACAUGCAAGUCGAGGGGCAGCAUGGUCUUAGCUUGCUAAGGCCGAUGGCGACCGGCGCACGGGUGAGUAACACGUAUCCAACCUGCCGUCUACUCUUGGACAGCCUUCUGAAAGGAAGAUUAAUACAAGAUGGCAUCAUGAGUCCGCAUGUUCACAUGAUUAAAGGUAUUCCGGUAGACGAUGGGGAUGCGUUCCAUUAGAUAGUAGGCGGGGUAACGGCCCACCUAGUCUUCGAUGGAUAGGGGUUCUGAGAGGAAGGUCCCCCACAUUGGAACUGAGACACGGUCCAAACUCCUACGGGAGGCAGCAGUGAGGAAUAUUGGUCAAUGGGCGAGAGCCUGAACCAGCCAAGUAGCGUGAAGGAUGACUGCCCUAUGGGUUGUAAACUUCUUUUAUAAAGGAAUAAAGUCGGGUAUGCAUACCCGUUUGCAUGUACUUUAUGAAUAAGGAUCGGCUAACUCCGUGCCAGCAGCCGCGGUAAUACGGAGGAUCCGAGCGUUAUCCGGAUUUAUUGGGUUUAAAGGGAGCGUAGAUGGAUGUUUAAGUCAGUUGUGAAAGUUUGCGGCUCAACCGUAAAAUUGCAGUUGAUACUGGAUAUCUUGAGUGCAGUUGAGGCAGGCGGAAUUCGUGGUGUAGCGGUGAAAUGCUUAGAUAUCACGAAGAACUCCGAUUGCGAAGGCAGCCUGCUAAGCUGCAACUGACAUUGAGGCUCGAAAGUGUGGGUAUCAAACAGGAUUAGAUACCCUGGUAGUCCACACGGUAAACGAUGAAUACUCGCUGUUUGCGAUAUACGGCAAGCGGCCAAGCGAAAGCGUUAAGUAUUCCACCUGGGGAGUACGCCGGCAACGGUGAAACUCAAAGGAAUUGACGGGGGCCCGCACAAGCGGAGGAACAUGUGGUUUAAUUCGAUGAUACGCGAGGAACCUUACCCGGGCUUAAAUUGCAGAUGAAUUACGGUGAAAGCCGUAAGCCGCAAGGCAUCUGUGAAGGUGCUGCAUGGUUGUCGUCAGCUCGUGCCGUGAGGUGUCGGCUUAAGUGCCAUAACGAGCGCAACCCUUGUUGUCAGUUACUAACAGGUUCCGCUGAGGACUCUGACAAGACUGCCAUCGUAAGAUGUGAGGAAGGUGGGGAUGACGUCAAAUCAGCACGGCCCUUACGUCCGGGGCUACACACGUGUUACAAUGGGGGGUACAGAGGGCCGCUACCACGCGAGUGGAUGCCAAUCCCCAAAACCUCUCUCAGUUCGGACUGGAGUCUGCAACCCGACUCCACGAAGCUGGAUUCGCUAGUAAUCGCGCAUCAGCCACGGCGCGGUGAAUACGUCCCCGGGCCUUGUACACACCGCCCGUCAAGCCAUGGGAGCCGGGGGUACCUGAAGUGCGUAACCGCGAGGAGCGCCCUAGGGUAAAACUGGUGACUGGGGC
rnacentral:rRNA from 1 species